rnacentral:rRNA from 1 species
CGGACGGGUGAGUAACGCGUGAGAAUCUGGCUUUAGGUCUGGGACAACCACUGGAAACGGUGGCUAAUACCGGGUGUGCCCGUAAUUGGGUGAAAGGUUAACUGCCUGAAGAUGAGCUCGCGUCUGAUUAGCUAGUUGGAAGUGUAAUGGACUCCCAAGGCGACGAUCAGUAGCUGGUCUGAGAGGACGAUCAGCCACACUGGGACUGAGACACGGCCCAGACUCCUACGGGAGGCAGCAGUGGGGAAUUUUCCGCAAUGGGCGAAAGCCUGACGGAGCAAUACCGCGUGAGGGAGGAAGGCUCUUGGGUCGUAAACCUCUUUUCUCAGGGAAGAACACAAUGACGGUACCUGAGGAAUAAGCAUCGGCUAACUCCGUGCCAGCAGCCGCGGUAAUACGGAGGAUGCAAGCGUUAUCCGGAAUGAUUGGGCGUAAAGCGUCCGCAGGUGGCAAUGUAAGUCUGCUGUUAAAGAGUCUAGCCCAACUAGAUACAAGCAGUGGAAACUACAUAGCUAGAGUACGUUCGGGGCAGAGGGAAUUCCUGGUGUAGCGGUGAAAUGCGUAGAGAUCAGGAAGAACACCAGUGGCGAAGGCGCUCUGCUAGGCCGUAACUGACACUGAGGGACGAAAGCUAGGGGAGCGAAUGGGAUUAGAUACCCCAGUAGUC